GUGAAUCAUCAAAUCUUUGAACGCGAAUUGCACUCUCUGGUAUUCCGGAGAGUAUGCCUGUUUGAGGGGCAGUUUAAAUAAAAAUCGGUGUGGUUGCUGCCUUUCGUGGUGACUCACCGGAUUUGAGUCGUCUUGCCUUCGGUUAAGCGACCUUUAAUUUUGCAUGAUUUUUUUCGAACGUAUUUAAGUGAUUUUACGUACGUUUGCGAUGUCGAAGACUGGCUUUG
rnacentral:misc_RNA from 1 species